ensembl:lncRNA
CCAGUGUAACUGAGUGUUCUGUUCAUUCUGCAGCCAGUACUGCUAAGAAGACUCGAUGAAUGGGAUUCACAAUUAGGGCUCUGCGCUUUUGCCUCCUCUUUUGGCUCACAGUUGUAUCUGAUUUUAAGGUCAUUUGUGUGUCAGUGCUAUGGCCUCCACUCAAAUUCCAGCAAUGAAAUCACGGCGUGCGGCUCUGCUGUUUGCCAGCCCCAUCCCAGGAGUGCCCAUUGUACCGAGGAGGUGCAGCCCAGACAGCCCCUGCCCUUCAGGAGGACUCCCUGGCGGCCCUCUGUGCUUUUCUGCAUAUCGAUGGUCUCAGCCUAAAUGCAGGCACACUUUUUGCAUCUACGGCAGAGAAUUCCUCCUCUGAAAAUUAGAACAGCUUAAAUAUAGUGUUUGGUUGCAAAGCAGAAACUCACACAUAAGGAGACGGGCAGAUUAUUGCAUAUAUUGUCAAUCAAUUUAUUUUUAAGAUGCACCGUUGACUUAUACUAGUAAUGGUAAAAGCUCUAUAUGCAAUACUGUUAUCUGGGGCUCGGGAGGGAGGAAAAGCAGAAGGUUGCAGUCUUUUGCAGUGUUCAUUCUCUUUAUUUUUUAAAUAGACACAAGGAGUUGAUGAUUGCAGACACCAAAUGCCUCUGGUGCAGCUUCAUCCAGUCUGAUGAAGUCCCUCUCAGGGCCCGACCCUCUGGAUCCGAAUGUCCAGGGAGGAGAUAGAAGCAGGGGAAAUUUCAGGGAGCAGCCAGAUCUCUGUGCACCAGAGAUGACUUUUAAAAUACAGUUUUAAAAUAUUCUUCAAACUUUGCAAAUGAAUGGCUACUCAGGAUCUGCGUAUCCUCAAUUUAUUAAAAUAAAGUUCAGCUUGCAUUUCAGAACCUUCAGGACUGGCAUACCAAUGUGAUUUCACACUAUAAAGAAUUUAGAGAAUCAGUGAACUGGAAUAAUGUCCUUUCCAUCAAUACACUGAUAUGUAUAUUGGCACGGUAACCAUUAGUGCUAACCAAAUCACCAACCUGACUGUAUGAAGAUAAUUUUUGCCCUAUUAGACAUGAAGGUACAAAUGUGGGAUUUUAAAAUAUGUAUCUGAGCU